rnacentral:sRNA from 1 species
AAAGACUCGGCCUCCCGACGCACGAAGGCCCAACAAACCAGGCUUUGUUGAGGGAGCAGCCUUUGGGAAAGCCCGGAGUUUGCCAUUCAUCAAACCCGAAACUAGGAGAGCCUACUUGCGGUAUAAACAUUUGCGGUAGCCCCGCCUCUCCGCAUUGUACUGUGGGAGCUGCAGUUCUGGACCGUCCAUAGUUUAGACGCCGUAAGGAGGAUAAAACCGAUUAAGAAUCUGAGCGUGUCAAUAUAUGACCACUAUCCACCAAAAUUCUUACGAAGAAUGAAGAAAGCAUAAUUCAAACAUCCAGUCGAUGAUUUUCAUGACAGGUUCUGCUCUCCCAUGAGAAAAUAAUGAUAGAAAAGCAACUGUCUCCAGAGAGGCCCUGCCAGAGCAUGACAAAUAGAGAGGCAGAUGCUUGCGACAACCAUUGAACUGAGAAC